rnacentral:rRNA from 1 species
ACGCUCGACACCUACUGGAGGCAGCAGUGGGGAAUAUUGGUCAAUGGGCGCUAGCCUGAACCAGCCAAGUAGCGUGAAGGAUGAAGGCUCUAUGGGUCGUAAACUUCUUUUAUAUAAGAAUAAAGUGCAGUAUGUAUACUGUUUUGUAUGUAUUAUAUGAAUAAGGAUCGACUAACUCCGUGCUAGCAGCCGCGGUAAUCUGAGCGGGCUGGCAAGGC